rnacentral:lncRNA from 1 species
CUUCAGACUUCCCUGCAGUUUUCUCACAGCCCCUAGGAAAAAGAGGCAGUGUCUCACUUUGUUGCCCAGGCUGGUCUUGAAAAUCUGGACUCAAGCAAUCCUCAUACCUCAGCCUUCCAAAGUGCUAAGAUUACAGGCAUAAGCCACCAUUGCUGGCUCCACCUUUCUUUAGAUGAGAAUGCAAAGGUUGGGCUGCAGAGAACAGAUGACUUCCCUAAGAUUGAUGGUCAGUGCGUGGUGACCUGGGACUAGAAGACACAUCACCGUACCCACAGGUGACAGGGAGAAGUAUUUAUCAAGAACACCCAUUCUCUUAGCCCUCAGAAAAUAUCACAAAUGCACCACCACUGAAAGGUGACAGCUUUUAUAGAUUCAUAGUGACUUACAACCUUCUACUUGGCUGCAGGAAGGCAAAAAUAAUCAAUUUUCAUAUAUCAUGGAGCAGAGGAGAAGGGAAAAUGAGAAGCAACCUGAGAAAUGCCUCUGCUAAAAUAUGUGAAGACCCCAGCUAAUACCCCAUCAAUUCCAUGGUCAAAAAGUACAAAGGUUCUAGAGAAAUAGGCUUGAACAAAGCAACCCAAUCAAGGUGAGAGGACACAGAGAAACAAGGUCUUCAGGCUAGCUUAGCUAUUGAAAUGAUCUAAUUAAAUAAAACAAUUAGAGAUUGGCUUCUGUCCUACGAGUGGUACCCCCCUCCCCAUGAAAUCACAAGGAAUGGCAAGAAUCCAAGAUUGCUUAAGUGAUUUCUUAUUUAACUCAGUCCUUUAAGUGGCUUAGCAAGUGUUAAAUUUAAAUGUGUGUAAAGAUCAUUACCCCCCACACCCAAAAAAAAAAUCAGGUGAAAAUUGUGACUAUGCAUACACAGGGCCACACAUAUAGGUCAAGAGAAAAAAUAGCUUCGGGGAUAUUCAGAGAUUUAGCUUUUAGCAAAAGUCAUUUUUCUCCCUUCAGUAAGCCUGUGAUCUUUUAAUAGCCAUUUUCCUUGAUUGCCUUCUAGAUCAUCGUCUGCUGCCAAGUGCCCAAUCUGAACACCCAGACUCUAGGUCUUGGUAGGGGAGGGGGUUGUGGGAUGAUCCUCAGACCAGAAUUCUGUAAACUUUCCCAGACUCAGCCAGCGGCAUCACUCUCCUGCAUUAUAUAAUAAAACAAAGCCUCAAGUUCAGAUUUCA